AUGGCCGCCGGCAACCAGCGGAAGUGCCUCUUUGUGGUGAUCAAGGAUAGAAAGCCUGAUUAUUUUGUGUGCAGCAUGAACAUCGAGCAUAUGUUCCAGUCCGGCCCCUCCAGAGGGGCUGCGGUAGAGAUCCGCAGCCUCCCCAGCCCCAUGGGGCAGAUCCCCAAGCCCCUCCCCAGCCCCAUGGGGCAGAUCCCCAAGCCCCUCGCCAACCCCGAGCGCAUCGACUUCGCCCUCGCCGGCGACGGCGCCACUUUGGUGGGCGUCAGCAACCUCAAGCGCACCGUCUUGUACGACACGAGGUCAGGAGCCACGUUAACGGGGCCGGAGCUCCAGCACGACAAGACCGGCGGCACCUUCGUCAUCCCGCUGGGGCGCAGGCUCUACGCGCUCAAAUGCCGUCUCAACAGGUCUGACCAAGGGAAGCCCUCCGGCGAGGACUGCGCCCUCCUCAUCCAGGACGCCGGCGGCACCCGCCUCAGGCUAGACUGCUCCUCUAGCUCAUGGCGCACCCUCCCAGAGCCACCGCCCGACUUCCGCUGCCUCAACGGCUUCCAGAUAAAAUGCCAGCUCGCCGCCUACUUCACCGCCGACGCGCGCAUCUGGGUCUCGGCGGAGGAGAGGGGCACCUACUCUUUCCACACCGUCCGCCGCGAGUGGCGCAAGGAGGGCGACUGGCAGCUGCCCUUCCACCACCGCGCCGUGUUCGUCCCUGAGCUCCACAACCUCUGCUUCGGCCUCUGCUCCAAGGACCGCUGCCUCGUGGCGGUCGACGUCCAGCAACCGCCGCCGGUCGUCCGGUACAAGUGGGAGGACACAUUCCCGAGCUGGGCCCGUGAGAACGGCAACGUCUGCGGCCUCAUGCCGGAAGGCAGCCUGGUCUACCUCGGGGACGGCAGGUUCUGCAUUGCUUGGACUGUCUUGAUGAUUGACAGGGUCGAUGGCCGCCCGCACUACUUCAUCCACUUGAUGGCCGUGCAAAUCAUCAAGACUUCUACCGGCUCCGGCUCCGGCAAGAAGCAGCUGAGGAUGGUCAAGCGCGGAGUUUGCUGCUACGAAAUGCCAAGCCAUGGCCUCAUGGCUCAUGUUUUUUAA
rnacentral:rRNA from 1 species